rnacentral:rRNA from 1 species
UACGAAGGGGGCUAGCGUUGCUCGGAAUCACUGGGCGUAAAGGGUGCGUAGGCGGGUCUUUAAGUCAGGGGUGAAAUCCUGGAGCUCAACUCCAGAACUGCCUUUGAUACUGAAGAUCUUGAGUUCGGGAGAGGUGAGUGGAACUGCGAGUGUAGAGGUGAAAUUCGUAGAUAUUCGCAAGAACACCCAGUGGCGAAGGCGGCUCACUGGCCCGAUACUGACGCUGAUGCACGAAAGCGUGGGGAGCAAACAGG